UACGGGGGGGGCAAGCGUUGUUCGGAAUUACUGGGCGUAAAGGGCUCGUAGGCGGCCAACUAAGUCAGACGUGAAAUCCCUCGGCUUAACCGGGGAACUGCCUCUGAUACUGGAUGGCUUGAGAUUGGGAGAGGGAUGCGGAAUUCCAGGUGUAGCGGUGAAAUGCGUAGAUAUCUGGAGGAACACCGGUGGCGAAGGCGGCAUCCUGGACCGGUAUUGACGCUGAGGCGCGAAAGCUAGGGGAGCAAACGGG
rnacentral:rRNA from 1 species